rnacentral:rRNA from 1 species
UACGUAGGGUGCGAGCGUUAAUCGGAAUUACUGGGCGUAAAGUGUGCGCAGGCGGCUGAGCAAGUCGAGUGUGAAAUCCCCGGGCUUAACUUGGGAAUUGCGCUCGAAACUACUUGGCUGGAGUAUGGCAGAGGAAGGUGGAAUUCCACGUGUAGCGGUGAAAUGCGCAGAUAUCAGGAAGAACACCUAUGGCGAAGGCAGCUCUCUGGGACGGUACUGACGCUGAGACGCGAAAGCGUGGGGAGCGAACAGG